GACGAACCGUGCGAACGUUAUUCGGAAUCACUGGGCUUAAAGCGCGUGUAGGCGGGAGGCACGUCCGUUGCUGAAAUCCCCCGGCUCAACCGGGGAACGGGCGCGGAUACGACUCUCCUUGAGGGGCGUAGGGGACCUGGAACUUCCGGUGGAGCGGUGAAAUGCGUUGAGAUCGGAAGGAGCGCCCGUGGCGAAAGCGGCUCACUGGACCAUAACUGACGCUGAGGCACGAAAGCUAGGGGAGCAAACAGG
rnacentral:rRNA from 1 species